GCUGAUGCUGAAGCAGCACGUUGGCGUUGGAGUGAGCAGAAAGAUGCUGUACCACUGACAGUCAUCAAUUCGCUGUUGGGCAGCUUCAGACUCAUCGGGGUCAACGAUUUCGAAAGGUGGAACAAGAUGGAACAACACAUUUGUUUUCCGCAUGACUAAUGGAAUAUUCAUGUGUUUGACCAAGCUGAGAUACCAACAUCUCAUCAUUGCACAAAUAAUGUCACCAGUCAUGUGGUCAACUCUUUUCUCAGGUGUUUGUAACCAUUGUUGCGCCAUGCUUUCCCACCUUUGCAUGUUUAUUAUUUGCGUGUUAGGGUUGUGAACGAUAAACCGAUGCUACCGGAUAUCCGGACAACCAAGAGAUAUGGCUGCAUCGUUAGCAGCCUCCUGGAUCGAUGAGAAUCAGCCAUAAAUCCUUAGAUUAAUCAAUUGUAGAGACAUGCACCAAGUAUCACAACACUAGCAACCGAUUUGUUUUUAACAACACCAGAGCCUGGGCUGCCGCUUCGUCGCUUACUGUGACUGAAGGCGAGAAUGGAUGUAAAUAGUAGCAACACGCUAGCUAGUCACUGGGAAAGAUUUUCAACACGUCAGCAAAACAUACGUACAUGACAGCAAUCUAAUUUAUCUUCGUUAUUAUGUAUUGUGUAAAACUAAGACAGGAACAACAUCAAAUUAAAAGCACUAAAUGAAUACAGACCCACCAUCCACCAGUAUGAGCCUGGAGUUUGUUUUUCAGAGAGGUGCACCACACAAAUGUGCACAUUAGCAUGCAAUAAUGUCACCAAAUCUUACCUUUAUGCAUUCCCAAUAGUAUCCGCAUUUGGGACCCAAUAUGAAGUGAAAGGGAAAAACAGGGAAAAAAAACAUUAUAGUAGUCUUAUCUGUGCAACAGGAGAAAGUCAGAUGGUGCGUUCAAGGACCGUUGAACAACGUGGGACACGUCACCGUUCGCAACACUUGCAAACUCUGGGAUUUGUAACUAUAUUAUUUUUUGAAUAAAAUAAUGGGCAAAAUUUCCUAAAUUCAUAUCAAUUUAUAUCAAAUUUGAUCAAGUUAUUUAUAAUGAUUUUAUUUUUUUAAGUGUUUUAUCAUUGCGCCUGAAAGUUUCCUGCGGCUCUGUGGUUGAGUGCCCCCGUCUUACAGCACGCUUGGGGGAUCUGAUGUGGUCUUGUACACAUUUGAAAGUACUGCAAGAAUGACACUUUUAUACAGAUGGCUUCUUUAUUUUAUAAUGUAAGACUAACGUCUCAGUCACCAAAUAGAAUAGUAUCGAAUCAAAUCGGUUUUAAACUAUAGCUUCUUAUUGUAUCUUAACCUGAGGAUCUACAGUAGAUGCGUGUCAAAUAUUCUUUGACAUCCCGAGGUGCAGGUUUUCGUGACGUCACUUCCUUCAUUGUGUGCGUGCUUGUGCAGGUGGAGACAGAAGCAUCUGUGAGGUAAUCAGCUGCAGGACACACGAGACCAAAUUCUUUCAGCAUCAUGAUAAUUUUGUUAAGAAAAAAAGCCAUGGACAUUUAAUUGACAUUCUUCACAUUUGUCCCAAUACUUUCUGGACAAUAUACGAUGCUCUAAAUGGCCAUAAUGAGCAUUUGCUACAACCUCUCUGCGGUCUCACUGAAUAAACACACAACAUUUAUCGUUAUUUAAUUUUUACUUAAAGAAUAUCCCCAAUAUAGUAAUGCACAUUUUUAUUAUAUGACACUUUUUUUUUCAAAACAAGCAUUGUACUGAUUGGCUGAACAAACGCAAUGUUUUGUAACUUGACUAUUAUCACUACUAUAGAUAUAUUUAGUAAAAAAAAAACAACCCACUUUAUUUAUAAGUUUUUUUCUACCGUUAUAUCAACAUAAUAAUGUUCAAAUAUGUAUACUAUUUUUAUUUACUUUUAUAUUUAUUUAUGUUCCCAUUUUGAUAUAUACUGUAUUAUUGUUAGAAUUAAGAUAUGAAGAAAAUGCAUUUUAUUGUAUUACAUUACAGUAUGUAUAAUUAUAUAACACAGCUAUUACUAUUAUUAUUAUUAGUAGUAGUAGUAGUAGUAUUGGUAGAUUGAAGACAAAAAGCGAAUGGCCACAAUGAAGCAUAGAUUGCAAUUUAUAUUCUAGGAUCUACUGCAAUGUCAAUCUCGUAGGUGAAGUUUGUGUCCACACGGAGGCGCAGUUCCGUCCAGAGCAUAAAUAGCCAUCAACUGGAUUGUUCUCAGCCUGCAGCUUUACAUGACUGCCCCCCAGUGGCCAAGCAGCAGAGUGAGCAGGGAGCCGAUAACAACGAUGAUGCUGUUGUAGAUGGGUCCACUUGAGGCUCCAGUGUAGUACUCCAUAUCUCCAGAGCCCUCUGCCUCAUACGCAGAUCUGGAGCCGUACACUCCACCAUGUCUCGGGUAGCCGU